CAAACCUUCCCGAAAGUACAUUUAAAUGCGAUUGUAUCCACGUCUUCAAAUGUAUUUCAUUUCAAAUUUGGCUUCCAGUGUGGUUUAACUUUCUGGGUUAUAGUGACGCAUCUGGCAAUGCCUUCUCUGCAUGUUCCCAAGCUCAUAGUGCUUUCUGGAAAACGGGGAACUCGGAAACAUACGAAGUACAAUCGUGACGUCAGUGAGUUCCCGAUUUAGAAUUGGACGACGGUUUGAAAAUAUUUUCCCUUGUCGGAGAUUUUUCUUUUCUUUUACUCCCGGAGUUCCCAUUUUGUCCUGAACGUCGGAAUUCGGAUAUUUUCGAGUUCCCAGUUGAUGUGAACGCGGCAUCAAAGUACAAACCCUCCGAUGUGACGUCACCAAUACGAGGCGUCCAACUUUUUUUCAUGGCCAUGCAAACUAACACGAGUUGGCAACACUCAAAUGUGUCACUUUUGUGAAGCCACAUGCUUUUAUGUCCUGUUGAAAGUGUGUUUCCCCUCCCAGUUUCCGAAGAAUUGGCUCUUUUGACGAAGACGUGUCGCGUUCAAGCCACAGGGACUUUUCGUAAGUUUUCAGAAAUUUCAACUGUCCCAGAGAAGACCCAUCUCCCCUGAAGACCCAUCUCCCCUGCAGUCCCAGAGAGAAGACCCAUCUCCCCUGCAGUCCCAGAGAGAAGACCCAUCUCCCCUGCAGUCCCAGAGAGAAGACACAUCUCCCCUGCAGUCCCAGAGAGAAGACACAUCUCCCCUGCAGUCCCAGAGAGAAGACACAUCUCCCCUGCAGUCCCAGAGAGAAGACCCAUCUCCCCUGCAGUCCCAGAGAGAAGACCCAUCUCCCCUGCAGUCCCAGAGAGAAGACCCAUCUCCCCUGCAGUCCCAGAGAGAAGACCCAUCUCCCCUGCAGUCCCAGAGAGAAGACCCAUCUCCCCUGCAGUCCCAGAGAGAAGACCCAUCUCCCCUGCAGUCC